GACAUACAUAUUCAAGUGGGUGUUCGCCUUUCUGAGACAUGGCGAAUGAAAAGGGAAUCCCGUGCAAAUCGGGAGCGGACCCGCCGCCGUAAGUUCUGUAAACCGUAUCUCAUUCCAAUUGUGGUCACUGAACGCUCGUUUGGGAAGGCCGAGAUUGCGGGGAACAAGCCGGAAAACCUGCCCAUUGGUUCCUCGGAUA
rnacentral:ncRNA from 2 species